GAUGAACGCUGGCGGCGUGCCUAAUACAUGCAAGUCGAGCGAACGGACGAGAAGCUUGCUUCUCUGAUGUUAGCGGCGGACGGGUGAGUAACACGUGGAUAACCUACCUAUAAGACUGGGAUGACUUCGGGAAACCGGAGCUAAUACCGGAUAAUAUUUUGAACCGCAUGGUUCAAAAGUGAAAGACGGUCUUGCUGUCACUUAUAGAUGGAUCCGCGCUGCAUUAGCUAGUUGGUAAGGUAACGGCUUACCAAGGCAACGAUGCAUAGCCGACCUGAGAGGGUGAUCGGCCACACUUGAACUGAGACACGGUCCAGACUCCUACGGGAGGCAGCAGUAGGGAAUCUUCCGCAAUGGGCGAAAGCCUGACGGAGCAACGCCGCGUGAGUGAUGAAGGUCUUCGGAUCGUAAAACUCUGUUAUUAGGGAAGAACAUAUGUGUAAGUAACUGUGCACAUCUUGACGGUACCUAAUCAGAAAGCCACGGCUAACUACGUG
rnacentral:rRNA from 1 species